AUGGCGACUGCCUCUUAUGCGCGCUCGGCGACGCGCGGCGAAUCGCGCGGCGGAAGUACGGGUGACCUAGAUGACUUUUUGGGGCAACUUGAUCUAGAAGAUGAAGUGUUCGACAAUCUAGUGAUUGAUGAGGUGAUACCACAGAUCAAUGAGCGCGUCGGGUGGAUGGCUCUUGCGCGUGUUCAUACUGAAAAGACGUUCAGCCAGUCGGCGUUCUUCAAGGAUAUGAGGGCAGCGUGGAACACGGCGCAACCAGUAAGGUUCAGGCCGGCCGGAGCCAAUCUGUUCGUGGUACAAGCUUCUUGCUUGGGUGACUGGGAACGAAUCAUGAAUCAGGGGCCAUGGUUGUUCGGGCGGUUUUGCUGCACCCUUACGAUGGAUUUAGUCGGGCUGAGGAUACACUGA
rnacentral:rRNA from 1 species